GCCUUCGUGGUGAAAUGGAUAUCACAAUGGUCUUCGGAACCAUUGUUGGGGGUUCGAAUCCCUCCGAGGGCA
rnacentral:tRNA from 1 species